UACAGAGGUGGCGAGCGUUAUUCGGAAUUAUUGGGCGUAAAGGGCGCGUAGGCGGCUUGACAAGUCCCGGGUGAAAUCCCCUCGGCUCAACCGAGGAACUGCCUUGGAAACUGUCUGGCUUGAGGCCGGGAGAGGGUAGUGGAAUUCCCAGUGUAGCGGUGAAAUGCGUAGAUACUGGGAGGAACACCGGUGGCGAAGGCGGCUACCUGGACCGGUUCUGACGCUGAGGCGCGAAAGCGUGGGUAGCAAACAGG
rnacentral:rRNA from 1 species